rnacentral:rRNA from 1 species
UACAGAGGGUGCGAACGUUGCUCGGAAUUACUGGGCGUAAAGCGCGUGUAGGCGGGGUUGCAAGGCAGAUGUGAAAUCCCCGGGCUCAACCCGGGAACUGCACCUGAAACUGCGAUCCUUGAGUACUGGAGAGGGUGGCGGAAUUCCUGGUGUAGAGGUGAAAUUCGUAGAUAUCAGGAGGAACACCGGUGGCGAAGGCGGCCACCUGGACAGUUACUGACGCUGAGACGCGAAAGCGUGGGGAGCAAACAGG